AGGGAUUGCCCUAGUAACGGCGAGUGAAGCGGCAACAGCUCAAAUUUGAAAUCUGGCCCUCGGGUCCGAGUUGUAAUUUGUAGAGGAUGUUUUUGGUGAGGUACCUUCCGAGUUCCCUGGAACGGGACGCCAUAGAGGGUGAGAGCCCCGUCUGGUUGGAUGCCGAUCCUCUGUAAAACUCCUUCGACGAGUCGAGUAGUUUGGGAAUGCUGCUCUAAAUGGGAGGUAUAUGUCUUCUAAAGCUAAAUAUUGGCCAGAGACCGAUAGCGCACAAGUAGAGUGAUCGAAAGAUGAAAAGCACUUUGAAAAGAGAGUUAAAAAGCACGUGAAAUUGUUGAAAGGGAAGCGCUUAUGACCAGACUUGGACUUGGUUGAUCAUCCGGUGUUCUCACCGGUGCACUCUUCCGGUUCAGGCCAGCAUCAGUUUGCUUCGGGGGAUAAAGGCUUUGGGAAUGUGGCUCCCUCGGGAGUGUUAUAGCCCAUUGUGUAAUACCCUGGAGCGGACUGAGGUACGCGUUCUGCAAGGAUGCUGGCGUAAUGGUCAUCAGUGACCCGUCUUGAAACACGGACCAAGGAGUCGUCUUCGUAUGCGAGUGUUCGGGUGUUAAACCCCUACGCGUAAUGAAAGUGAACGCAGGUGAGAGCUUCGGCGCAUCAUCGACCGAUCCUGAUGUUCUCGGAUGGAUUUGAGUAAGAGCAUACGGGGCCGGACCCGAAAGAAGGUGAACUAUGCCUGUGUAGGGUGAAGCCAGAGGAAACUCUGGUGGAGGCUCGCAGCGGUUCUGACGUGCAAAUCGAUCGUCAAACAUGGGCAUGGGGGCGAAA
rnacentral:rRNA from 1 species